GAGAGCGGCGUACGGGUGCGGAACACGUGUGCAACCUGCCUUUAUCUGGGGGAUAGCCUUUCGAAAGGAAGAUUAAUACCCCAUAAUAUAUUGAAUGGCAUCAUUCGAUAUUGAAAACUCCGGUGGAUAGAGAUGGGCACGCGCAAGAUUAGAUAGUUGGUGAGGUAACGGCUCACCAAGUCAAUGAUCUUUAGGGGGCCUGAGAGGGUGAUCCCCCACACUGGUACUGAGACACGGACCAGACUCCUACGGGAGGCAGCAGUGAGGAAUAUUGGACAAUGGGUGAGAGCCUGAUCCAGCCAUCCCGCGUGAAGGACGACGGCCCUAUGGGUUGUAAACUUCUUUUGUAUAGGGAUAAACCUUUCCACGUGUGGAAAGCUGAAGGUACUAUACGAAUAAGCACCGGCUAACUCCGUGCCAGCAGCCGCGGUAAUACGGAGGGUGCAAGCGUUAUCCGGAUUUAUUGGGUUUAAAGGGUCCGUAGGCGGGCUCGUAAGUCAGUGGUGAAAUCUCAUAGCUUAACUAUGAAACUGCCAUUGAUACUGCGAGCCUUGAGUAAGGUAGAGGUAGCUGGAAUAAGUAGUGUAGCGGUGAAAUGCAUAGAUAUUACUUAGAACACCAAUUGCGAAGGCAGGUUACCAUGUCUUAACUGACGCUGAUGGACGAAAGCGUGGGGAGCGAACAGGAUUAGAUACCCUGGUAGUCCACGCCGUAAACGAUGCUAACUCGUUUUUGGGUUUUCGGAUUCAGAGACUAAGCGAAAGUGAUAAGUUAGCCACCUGGGGAGUACGUUCGCAAGAAUGAAACUCAAAGGAAUUGACGGGGGCCCGCACAAGCGGUGGAUUAUGUGGUUUAAUUCGAUGAUACGCGAGGAACCUUACCAAGGCUUAAAUGGGAAUUGACAGGUUUAGAAAUAGACUUUUCUUCGGACAAUUUUCAAGGUGCUGCAUGGUUGUCGUCAGCUCGUGCCGUGAGGUGUUAGGUUAAGUCCUGCAACGAGCGCAACC
rnacentral:rRNA from 1 species